rnacentral:rRNA from 1 species
GUCUAAAAUGACUCUCGGCAACGGAUAUCUCGGCUCUCGCAUCGAUGAAGAACGUAGUGAAAUGCGAUACUUGGUGUGAA